AUGAAACACCAUCACCAGCACCCAGUCCCAAUGCGAAUGGGGCAGCAUCAUACCAAGGACAAUGGAGAAAGAAGUUGUCAACCAGUGUACUUGCUAUUGCCAUUUUGUUAUGUGCUACUUGAGUACCUACCAGGCUCAUAUGACAAAACAUGGAUUCGCACAAAGCGGUUAUUUGGUUUGCUAAAAUAUAAAACUAUUGCAUAUGUAUGGAAUUGA